rnacentral:rRNA from 1 species
CCUACGGGAGGCAGCAGUGAGGAAUAUUGGUCAAUGGGCGCGAGCCUGAACCAGCCAAGUCGCGUGAGGGAAGACGGCCCUACGGGUUGUAAACCUCGUUUGCCGGGGAGCAACGGGCGCCACGUGUGGCGCCACUGAGAGUACCCGGAGAAAAAGCAUCGGCUAACUCCGUGCCAGCAGCCGCGGUAAUACGGAGGAUGCGAGCUUUAGCCGGAUUUAUGGGGUUUAAAGGGUGCGUAGGCGGAGCGUAAAGUCAGGGGUAAAAUUGAGGGGCUCAACCCCUGACCGCCAUUGAAACUGGCGCUCUUGAGUGGAAGAGAGGUAUGCGGAAUGCGUGGUGUAGCGGUGAAAUGCAUAGAUAUCACGCAGAACCCCGAUUGCGAAGGCAGCAUGCCGGCUUCCGACUGACGCUGAAGCACGAAAGCGUGGGGAUCGAACAGGAUUAGAUACCCCAGUAGUC